UUUAAGUAUUUCAGAGGUGGGGAGGGGAUAUGGAGAGUGGAAGCUGAAGAAUAGUGAGAGAAUCUUGGCUCAUUUAGAAGAUCCGAGCAAUUUCUAGAAUGGGGCAUAGCUAGACUUGCUCGAGAUAAUUUUCUAAUUUUUAUAGACUUUCUAUGAGUUUCUGUGGUGGGCAGGAUUCUGAAUGGGCUCCAAAAUUCCACCCUUGGUCUGUACAUCCUAUAUAAUUUUGUGUCCUUGAGUGGGUAGACCUGAAAAUAAAAAGGGACAGUGACUCCCUUGGUUAUGUCAUAUUAUAUAAGACGCAGAGGUAGCUGAACUAGAGCGAGAGUCUCCUGCUGGCUUUGAGAGCUAAGCUGUCAUCAUGAGUGAGCCAGGUGUUGAGGACCUGAGAGCGACCUACAGCUGACAGCCAACAAAGAACAGAGGACCUCAGUCUGCUGACCUCAAGGAACUGAAUUGUGUCAAUGACCCAGAUGGUUUAGAAGCAAGCCCGCACAUCAGAGGAGUGAGCAGCCUCAGCCCCCACCUGGACACAGUGCCUCUGCCAGCAAGAAAGCACAGCUGAAGGAAGCCUUGGUCCUAAUUGAGCAUAGGAAGUACACAGGCCUUUCAUCCACUGGUCAGAGAAUGCUUCUUCUCCCACAGGAGUGAAGACAGAAGGUAGAAUGAUCGUCAGUUUUGGAAAGAAUAUGCAAUGAACUGAAAAGAUGCAUUGAUGAUGGCAAUGAUGUUUUCAUAUAUUAGCCCCCUCCUGUCCUCACACAGGCAUGAGGAAGAUUAAUGCCCUGGAAAUCUUCUAUUGUCUAACACUGUAUUAUUAUUGUUAUUAUGAAGAUUAUCCUAGAGUUUCCACUUUUGGAGGUGGCUGCUAUAAUGAGGGUAACUGGUGUGGAUAUUUCAGAAAGAUUUCACAAAUGAUGAAGCUAUAAUUAGCCACUUAGACUGGGCAGUAGCUUUUCCAAAUGCCAGGUGGUGGUGGGAAUCUAUAGUUAUCAUUCCUGCACCAUUGACAGAGAAACUGAGACCCAGAGAAUUCAAAGACCCACUCAAGUCCUUGGCGUGAGUGAGCAUUAGACAGCUCUGGAGCCCAGCACCCCAGCUGAAAUGACUGUCCUCAAAUAUGUUAACAGGAUUAGAAUGGGGGGUUCAGGGAGUUCCCAGGGGGCAUGGG